ACUUUUCCCACUCUAUAAUACUGUACUUGCCUUUAGGGAAAUGGCACAAAUUGUUUAUUUAAUGCACAGUGGAAAGCCUAUUUGCUUGUGGAGAAGAGCUCAGGUUGAUGUCUAUAUCAGAACCCCCUGGCUCACUCCCUUUUCAUCUUCAUAAGGGAAAAAAAUUGAGUUGGAAAUACCAGAAGUCUCCCCUCCUCCUGGCCCUUGAUGGACAUAUCCCUGCUCAAACACAGAGCCUUAAUCAGUAUCGGAGAAAUGUCCCUUUGCUACAGGACUGAAGGGACUUGGGGAUCUGAUGUUUGAAGGGGAAGCACUCUUCCGUUCCAAAUGAUCUUUCUCCACAAAGAGGACUCAUACCAGUAAACAUGCAUCAUACCAGCAAACAUGCAUCAUCAUAGAACUUACACUGCUUAGAUGAAAUAAGAGUCUUUCCCACUGGUGCCUUAAACCUGCAGCAAUAAAAUAAGAUCUUCUUGAGGGUG